AAGUCGAGCGAACGGAUGAGAAGCUUGCUUCUCUGAUGUUAGCGGCGGACGGGUGAGUAACACGUGGAUAACCUACCUAUAAGACUGGGAUAACUUCGGGAAACCGGAGCUAAUACCGGAUAAUAUUUUGAACCGCAUGGUUCAAAAGUGAAAGACGGUCUUGCUGUCACUUAUAGAUGGAUCCGCGCUGCAUUAGCUAGUUGGUAAGGUAACGGCUUACCAAGGCAACGAUGCAUAGCCGACCUGAGAGGGUGAUCGGCCACACUGGAACUGAGACACGGUCCAGACUCCUACGGGAGGCAGCAGUAGGGAAUCUUCCGCAAUGGGCGAAAGCCUGACGGAGCAACGCCGCGUGAGUGAUGAAGGUCUUCGGAUCGUAAAACUCUGUUAUUAGGGAAGAACAUAUGUGUAAGUAACUGUGCACAUCUUGACGGUACCUAAUCAGAAAGCCACGGCUAACUACGUGCCAGCAGCCGCGGUAAUACGUAGGUGGCAAGCGUUAUCCGGAAUUAUUGGGCGUAAAGCGCGCGUAGGCGGUUUUUUAAGUCUGAUGUGAAAGCCCACGGCUCAACCGUGGAGGGUCAUUGGAAACUGGAAAACUUGAGUGCAGAAGAGGAAAGUGGAAUUCCAUGUGUAGCGGUGAAAUGCGCAGAGAUAUGGAGGAACACCAGUGGCGGAGGCGACUUUCUGGUCUGUAACUGACGCUGAUGUGCGAAAGCGUGGGGAUCAAACAGGAUU
rnacentral:rRNA from 1 species